CUACGGGGCGCAGCAGUGAGGAAUAUUGCACAAUGGGGGGAACCCUGGUGCAGCAACGCCGCGUGGAGGAUGACGCAUUUCGGUGUGUAAACUCCUUUUAUAUGUCAAGAAAAUGACGGUAGCAUAUGAAUAAGCACCGGCUAACUCCGUGCCAGCAGCCGCGGUAAUACGGAGGGUGCAAGCGUUACUCGGAAUCACUGGGCGUAAAGGACGCGUAGGCGGGUUGGAAAGUCAGGUGUGAAAUCCUACAGCUUAACUGUAGAACUGCACUUGAAACUUCUAAUCUAGAGUAUGGGAGGGGGAGAUGGAAUUAGUGGUGUAGGGGUAAAAUCCGUAGAUAUCACUAGGAAUACCUAAAGCGAAGGCGAUCUCCUGGAACAUUACUGACGCUAUGGCGUGAAAGCGUGGGGAGCAAACAGGAUUAGAUACCCCCGUAGUC
rnacentral:rRNA from 1 species